rnacentral:rRNA from 1 species
CGGAAUGAGAACAUUCUAAACCCUUUAACGAGAAUCAAUUGGAGGGCAAGUCUGGUGCCAGCAGCCGCGGUAAUUCCAGCUCCAAUAGCGUAUAUUAAAGUUGUUGCGGUUAAAAAGCUCGUAGUCGAAAUUGUGUCUCGCGCCGCCGGUUCAUCGUUCGCGGUGCUAACUGGCGUGUCGCGAGACGUCCUGCCGGCGGGCUUAGCUCGCAAGAGCGGUCCAACUUAAUCCCGCCGCGGUGCUCUUUACUGAGUGUCGAGGUGGGCCGGCACGUUUACUUUGAACAAAUUAGAGUGCUUAAAGCAGGCUCAAACUUCGCUUGAAUAUUGCGUGCAUGGAAUAAUGAAAGAGGACCUCGGUUCUAUUUUGUUGGUUUUCAGAACCACGAGGUAAUGAUUAACAGGAACGGAUGGGGGCAUUCGUAUUGCGACGUUAGAGGUGAAAUUCUUGGAUCGUCGCAAGACGGACAGAAGCGAAAGCAUUUGCCAAAAACGUUUUCAUUGAUCAAGAACGAAAGUUAGAGGUUCGAAGGCGAUCAGAUACCGCCCUAGUUCUAACCAUAAACGAUGCCAGCUAGCGAUCCGCCGACGUUCCUCCGAUGACUCGGCGGGCAGCUUCCGGGAAACCAAAGCUUUUGGGUUCCGGGGGAAGUAUGGUUGCAAAGCUGAA